CUUAAGCUUUGCUCAUUGUUUUUGUUUCCCAUACGUUUGUGGUUAUUAAAACCACUUAAACUGAAAAUGGAUCAAGGCUGAGUGUUGGCUCUUAUAAACAUAAUGAGUAUAUAUCCCAGAUUUUCUGGGACAGCCCAGAUUUCAAAUGACUGUAUCCUGGUCUGAGGAUGGGAGAAUGUGGUCCACAGAUGUUGCCCGUGGUCAGGGUCUGCUGGUCAAGGUGUUCAGGGACUGGUACAGCUCAUUCAGAUACCACCUGAGACAGCAACAGAACAAAAGUACACAAGAACAAAAAUAAUGUUUGAGACAAACUGGCAAACCUUGAAGAAGUGUGCAAAGGUGGCAGGACAGCGUGAGGCCAGGAUUUGUCUGGGCAAAACAACUUAAUAGAUUUGGAACCAUCUUGGAAGAGGAAGUUGGUUUUCUUGAGUCAGCAGCUUAGUCACCUUCUGGUAUCAGUGGCAAAUAUUUUUAGCCCUCAGGGCCUGGCCAGGGUCUUCUGAGGUGGUUCUACUUCCUAGGAAGGGGGUAGAUUCUAGAAGAGUGGGCCUAUGGGGUUUAUUUGUGGAAAAGUCUUCAUUCCUUCUUCACAUGAACCCACAAGAAGACCUACUCUGUGCCCAGCAGCCUCCAAGAAGUGGGGCAGGAUGUAGAAAUGGCCAAAACCAAAAUCUUUGCCUUUGAAGAAUUUUCAAUCCAGUGUGGGAGAUAGACAUAUAAAGUAGUAAGUUAGAACUCCAUCUUAUAAAGGAUUCCUAUUGAGAGAGAACCAAGUAUGGAGGGGCACACAGAGGAGACAGCCACCAUCCAGGGGAGCUGGAGGUGACUCAGGCAGGACCUUGUGUGGUGGGUCUCACACGAAUCUUUUCUAGGUCCUCUGCUCCCUCAGUGGAUGAAUAAGACUGUCUCCUUCUGGGUUUGUGUAAGCUCUUCUGAGAAGCCUCCUUCUACUUCUUUCCCUAUUUUCUGCCCUUUAGGACCUGUCAGAGGCUAGGUGAGAAACAGAGAGUACAUUCAGCUGGGAUUUUUGAAAGACUUUUUAACGAAGUGGCUAUUUACAGAGGUGUGGGUAGCUUCCCAUAAGUAAUAAGGGAUGUUGGUGCCCACAGCAACUACCAGCAAGGGAAGCUGCUCUCACACUUGACCUGCAGAGGCAGAGGAAGAAAUGCUAUGACUGGUGCCCAGGUGAAAGCUGGAGCCCUGGACGAGGGGCUGCUUGAGAGGAGCUGUGGCUGUAGAAGGAUGGGACAGCUGCCAGAAGGACUGCCCAGCAGGGCGUCACACCAGCCAUUGAGGAAUCAGGAAUCAACAAGCCAGACCUGGUCCUCAACUUUAUGGAGCUUACAGUCUAGGAUGGAAACAAAUAUGGAGCAUGCGAAUAAAGGGAGACAUUCUUGGGAUGAGUGAGCUCAGGGAGCCAACCCUGGGGUUUGGUUUUUCUUCUCCAAAGUCAGGCCACACAGCUCCUUACUCCUAGAACUACAGUGUCUAAAGAUACCCCAUGAAAACUCUUACUCAGAGCCGACCCUAGAAACCCCAGGUGAUGGACUCAGAGUUCAAAGGGAAAAUGUUUCACAGCCCCAAGUCACUAUCCCCCCAUGCCCUGUUAUUCUUCAGUAUUUCUAUCCCUUUUGCUUAAACCUGUGCACUCUUCCUUAAUAUAUGACAGAAGAGAAAGUCAUAAGAAUAACUUUUAACCUUGGGAUGGAGGAAAACAAUCUGAGAAAGACAGGGUACCCAGAAGUCAUACAGAAAAUACAGAUAUAUUCAAUCAUAUAUUUAAAUAUUGUGAGGCAAAAAUCACAAGGUCAAUGGAGAAAUAAUAGACUAGGAAAAAAGUAGUUGAAACAUGACAAAGUUUAUAUCCUUAACAGACAAUUCGAAAGGCAAAG
rnacentral:lncRNA from 1 species